AAGAGUAUCGGUGAUGAAACUCACCAUUUGGUUUUUCCAGAGAACCACCUCCGGGCUGAUAGUUUCUAGCUCUCA
rnacentral:ncRNA from 2 species